rnacentral:rRNA from 1 species
UUUAAUACGACCACUAUAGGGCGAAUUGGGCCCGACGUCGCAUGCUCCCGGCCGCCAUGGCCGCGGGAUUAUUACCGCGGCUGCUGGCUGCUGCCUCCCGUAGGAGUAUUACCGCGGCUGCUGGCACGAAGUUAGCCGGGGCUUCUUCUCCGGUUACCGUCAUUAUCUUCACCGGUGAAAGAGCUUUACAACCCUAGGGCCUUCAUCACUCACGCGGCAUGGCUGGAUCAGGCUUGCGCCCAUUGUCCAAUAUUCCCCACUGCUGCCUCCCGUAGGAAUCACUAGUGCGGCCGCCUGCAGGUCGACCAUAUGGGAGAGCUCCCAACGCGUUGGAUGCAUAGCUUGAGUAUUCUAUAGUUCACCUAAAUC